UACGAACUGUGCAAACGUUAUUCGGAAUCACUGGGCUUAAAGGGUGCGUAGGCGGCUUGUCAAGUAGGGUGUGAAAGCCCCCGGCUUAACCGGGGAAUUGCGCCCUAAACUGACGAGCUGGAGUGGGACAGGGGUGUGUGGAAUUCCCGGUGUAGCGGUGAAAUGCGCAGAUAUCGGGAAGAACACCCGUGGCGAAGGCGGUUCUCUGGGACGGUACUGACGCUGAGACGCGAAAGCGUGGGGAGCGAACAGG
rnacentral:rRNA from 1 species